UUUUUUUUUUUUUUUUUUUUUUAAAGGGAGUUGUGUUUAAACAGUCUUCGCAAAAAUCUGGGUAAUUGCUAGUUUAUUCAUAUAAGCUUCUAAAGUCAGAUUUGUAUCUCUUUCUAAUGGCAAAUUUUAUAGAAAGAGCCACGAGGGAACCCUCAUAUUUAUGGGUUACAUUUAAAAAUGUCUGUAAACACAUCUUUUAAAUUCUCAGCCAACACUGGCUUCUUCCGUUCCUCUGUACAGGUGUCCUGUGUCGAGCCCGCACAUCACCACUUGUAACUGAUGCUCUUCCAGGUGUGCCAGCGUGUUGGGAAAUCGCCCAGAGAUGGUGUAGGGGCUGGGGUGAAGUCGGUGGUGUGCUUUGAUAGUGGGGAGACAAGCUUUGUGCUUUUCUCUAGACAAGCAUCCGUCAGGGAUGACCCAGGACCAUUGUUGGUUCUGUCGUUUACAAAAGUACGGAUCACAGCAGCCGUGGAGUGGUGCAAUUCUGGAAGCUGCCAAACAGACUCCACUCACAGUGCAUUAUCAUUAUUUUCAGGGGCAGGGCUCAUGCCAGUUUGUUACUGGGGCCUUCAAAGCUGAGCUUCCAAGGAUGAAACCUUCCUGAUGAAUCUGUGGCAGGAAUUGGGGGAGGGUGUUUAGUCUGCCAGCACCUUGCCAGCUCCUGGGAGAGGAGACUCUGGUGAGCAGCCAAAGGCUGAUGGGCCCCCAGAAAGCCCUGGAACCUCAUGCAGGGAGAGAGACUGGCCUUGAGGUCAGCCAGGGAAGCUCCAGAUAGGAUGCAUUUAUUUGAAAUAACAGCUUUGUUGAGGUAUUAAUCACAUACCGUAAAAUUCACCAUUUAAAAAGUAGAGUUUAAUCUUCAGAGUCGUUUGCGGUUCACAGUAAAACUGAGCAGAAGGCAGAGGGAUUUCCCAUUUACCUUUGGUUACCACCCAUGCGUGGCCUCCCCAUUGCCAGCAGCCCGCGCCAGGAUAGUACAUUUGCUGCAAUCCAUGAACCUACACAGACGCAUCAUUAUCCCCCACAGUCCAGAGCUCACCUUAGGGCUCACUCCACGUGUCCAUUCUGUGGGUUUGGUCAAACGUGUGACGACUUGUGGCUAGCACUAUAGGAUCAUGGAAAGUGGUAUCACUGCUCUAAAGAUCCUGUGUUAAAAUUCACCAUUUUAAAGUGUGCAGUUCAAUGUUUUUUUAAGUGUAUGAACAUGGAAUACAAUGAUCAUGACUGUCUAAUUUCAGAGCAUUUUCAUCACCUCUGAGAUGUAACUCCUUCUCCCCUAACAGUCACUCUCCAUGUCUUUCCAUAGGCCCCUGGCAACUACUCAUCUUUCUGUCUAUGGAUUUUUCUGUUCUGGGUAUUUUGAACCAAUGGAUUCAUGACAUACGGUUUUUUGGUAACUGGCUUUUUCCGCUUUGUAUAAAAUUUUCAAGAUUCAUUCUCUUGUAGCACUCUUUUUCAUUGUCAAAUAAUAUUCCCUGGCUAUAUAACACAUUUUAUUUAUUCAUUCAUGAGUUGAUAUACAUUUGGGUUGUCUUCCAGUUUGUGGUUCUAAUGAUACUAUGUACAUUCAUGCAAAGGUUUUUGUGUGGAUAUAUUUUCUCAAUUCUCUAGGAUGUAUGACCAGGAGUAGAAUUGGUGGGUCUUUUAGCGACUGUAUGUUUAACAUUUUGACAAACUGCCAGACUGUUUUUCACAUUGGCUGGGCCAUUUUACAGCUCCCCCAGCAAUGUAUAAUGGUUCCAGUUUUUCUCUAUCUUCACCAAGACUGGUUAUUGUUCGUCUUUUUGAUUCAUUUAUUCUUUCACUUAUUCAUUCAAUACAUAAUUGCUGAGUACCUGUGUGUGCUAGAGACUAGGGUAGAUGAGUGAGAAAAUUAUACAAGCUUAUGAUAAUUUGGCAGAGAUCACUGCUAAUCAAAGGAUAAUCAAAUAAAAGAAAAAUGCAAGUGUAAGGGGAUUUGUGCGCGAUGCUAUGAGACUGUAUACAAAGGAGGUCUGACUUUGUCCCGGGAGUUCAGGGACAAUUUCCCUUAGGAGGCAGUGAUGGAGCUGAGAUGUGCAAGCUGAAUCGUAUCUCAGUAGAUAGUUGAUUAUACACAGAAGUGUUAGUAUGUCUCUGUGUCAGUUCUUCCUUCGUAAUGUGGAGGUAGCCAGAUCCACGUAAUAGAGUGGUUUGGGGACUCUAUAAAUGCUGUUGUUAGGGAAAGACUAGUGACUUUGCCUCAAUUAUUGACUCUUUGAUUUUCACUUGUAAUCUUCUUCUAGUUUCCCUGUGUCUCCAGAAGAAAGGGUCUCUAGACAAAUGGUAGUGGUGGUGAUGGUGGUGAUGGUGGUGGUGGUCGUGAUGAUGAUGGUGAUGGCUGUAGCAAUGGUGGUGAUGGGAAUGGUGAUGGCCGUAGCAAUGGAGAUGAUAGUGGUGGUGGUGGGGAUGGUGAUGGCUAUAGGAACGGUGAUGAUGGUGGUGGUGGUGGGAAUGGUGGUGGUGAUGGUGAUGGCUGUAGCAAUGGUGGUGGUGGGAAUGGUAAUGGCCAUAGGAACGGUGAUGAUGGUGGUGGUGGUGGUGAUGGUGAUAGUGAUGGCUGUAGCAAUGGUGGUGGGGAUGGUGAUGGCUAUAGGAACGGUGAUGAUGGUGGUUGUGAUGAUAAUGGUGGUGGUGAUGGUGAUGGCUGUAGCAAUGGUGGUGGUGGGAAUGGUGAUGGCCAUAGCAAUGGUGAUGAUGGUGGGGAUGGUGAUGGCUAGGUGAUGGCCAUAGGAACGGUGAUGAUGGUGGUGGGCCAUCGCAGUGGUGAUGAUGGUGGUGGUUUUGGUGAUGUGGUGAUGGUGGGGAUGGUGAUGGCCAUAGGAACGGUGAUGAUGGUGGUGGUGAUGGUGAUGGUGAUGGCCGUCGCAAUGGUGGUGGUGAUGAUGGUGAUGGCCAUAGCAAUGGCGGUGGUUUUGGUGAUGGUGGUGAUGGUGANCAUAGGAACGGUGAUGAUGGUGGUGGUGAUGGUAAUGGUGGUGGUAAUGGUGAUGGUGAUGGCUGUAGCAAUGGUGGUGGUGGGAAUGGUGAUGGCCAUAGCAAUGGUGGUGAUGGUGGUGGGGAUGGUGAUGGCUGUUGCAAUGGUGGUGAUGAUGGUGAUGGCCAUAGCAAUGGCGGUGGUUUUGGUGAUGGUGGUGAUGGUGGUUGAGGUAGGCUGUGAUUUGAUGAGUGCCUUCUAUGUGCCAAGUAGUUUGCCAAGUAAUUUAAAACAUCUUAGUCAUUUCUUUUAAGAGCACUGCAAUAGCAGGAGAUCAGCAUAAGAUUAGAAUGAAGGAGAAAAAUUUUAAAAAUUGCUCAGUUGAUGUUGAACAGAUUGGACUUUGAGUUGAAGAACUGACUCUAAGGCAAAUAUUUCCAAUUCUGUGUUCAGAGAGCACCUGAAAUAGGUACUUGAUUUCAGAAAAGGUCUUUUUAUGCAGUUUAAUUGUUUAUGCUUAGAAGGGUAUUUUAUUUCUUGAAUACGGAACGCAAUUUCUUUUAUUUCAAAUUACUUCUCUGGUGUUAAGCUAAAUGGUUUAGCUUAAUCACAUAUAACAAACCUCCAGUAUAAGGGCCCGGAUCCCAAAUCUUGCUACAAAUUAGUUCCCAGCCCCGGCAAUAAAUGCAUACCUGGAGCAAAUUCAAAAAGGGAAACCACUUUAAUUAAGUUUGAAAGUGUCUCCAAUCAGUUCCAGAAUAGCUGUCGCUGAAUUUAUGAUGCACCUUCCAAACUGUAGCUCUCUUCAUAUCCAGCUGAAGUGAGAAGGCCGCAGAGAGAUCGAACUUGAUUUCUUGAGACCUAAGCAUUUAUCUGCGAAUAAGAGCGUCUAGGAGCCGUGGGUGAGAAUGACGGAAGGCAAGCCGGCUCCCCUUACUUAGGCCUAUCCAUUGCCCUUUGUCACUGUUUCCACUUCAUUGUAAGGGUUCUAGAAGAAGUAAUCCAGUCAGACCUUCUUUGGAGCAUUUGCAUGAGUAUAGUCUGGUCCCACUGAUCUGUCACGCAACAGUGACAUUUAUGCCCAGAUGACAGUAAUGUGGGGCUUUCCUGGAGCAGGAGCUGGCCCUGAGGCUCAGAGAGGUGAAGUGGCCUGAGAAUAUCCCUGAGUUCUGAACCUCAGAACCAGGAUGCAAACUCAUGGUACUCCGGUUCCAGUAUUUUGAGCCCAGGGAACACACUCAGAAGAAAAUGUCAGCGAUGAUAAUAAUGAGAAGUCAUUUCAGUGUGAUUCCUGGCUAUUUUGCGGUUGAGUCUUCUGUUAAUUUUUGUCGGAUUCUUUUAACCUUGUUUUCCCGGCCAUCAUACCUAAGUGUGACAACACAUGAGCACAUAGCAUGGCACGAUGGAAAGGCAAGAAGUCGGAGUUGGAAAAGCAGAGCUUGGCUUUGCACUUCUCAGUACUGUGACUUUGGGCUUCACAACUCUGACUCUCUGAUGGGAAGUUGUGGGUGAAGACGAAGGGAGAAAACGCCUUGUAGACGUUAAACUGCCUUCUUUGUGACUGCUUUUAACAUCUGUAAGAGCGUGAUUGAGUCUGGCAGGCCGGGUCUGCAAGGUGUGCUCUGAGAGGUCAUUGGAGGCGUCCUGCUGUGUCAGAACGUCACAGGGACCCCUGAGCUCUCCCCCAGGUCUUUAAUUCUUGUGUAAAUGGCGUAGUGAUUGUGAAGAAGGGAGGACCUCAGGGUUGGGAUUCCUGGUGUCCCACAGUGUGCUGGACACUGUCCCAAAUGCUUUGUGCCUGUCAUUUAAGUAAUCUAUGUGAUUGGUCGUCUCAGUAGAAUUACUUCACACAUGAAAACUGAGCACAGUUGGGUUCGUUUUGCUUCAGUUAGCUAUGUGGUAAUUUCCUUUGAUUCUAACCUCUUUUCCCUUCCUUUUCCUGGUUGUUAUUAAGGGAGUUUGCCCAUGGAGGCUUAACUCUUUUUCCUAGAUGACUGUCGUAUAAUUUUAAUCUGAUGGUAGGAUGUGGUGAGAUGAUGUGGUAGACAGGA
rnacentral:lncRNA from 1 species